ensembl:snRNA U5 U5 spliceosomal RNA
ACACUUUUGUAUCUCUUCAGAAUCGUAUAAAUCUUUUUUUUUACUAAAUAUUUCCGAGGACAUUAUGAGUAUCAACACAUUUUUUGAUGCCCUGCUUUACUGCUGGGCU